rnacentral:rRNA from 1 species
CAGUUCGGAUUGUAGGCUGCAACUCGCCUACAUGAAGUCGGAGUUGCUAGUAAUCGCGGAUCAGAAUGCCGCGGUGAAUGCGUUCCCGGGUCUUGUACACACCGCCCGUCACACCAUGGAAGUUGGGGGCGCCCGAAGUUGCCUAAGAAAUAAGGUACCUAAGGCGAAACCAAUGACUGGGGUGAAGUCGUAACAAGGUACC